UGUUACAAAGUUCAGCUAGAGAAUUCCUUCGCCCUGUGGAGUUUUACCCGCUGCUCCUCUGGCCACCUUCCAGUUGGAUCGCCGUGGUACCAGGCAGGAAUGGGCUGUAUGGGGAACCAGCGAGCUCCCAGGGCCUUUCUGCUGCUUCCUCUACCCCUGUAUUUCGCUCAGCUUGGCUCUCUAACUUGACUCAGCUCCAGAUCCUUUCCACAAUGUGAAUAUUUCCUGCAAUGGCUAGCCAAGAUUCUUCUACCAGUCAAAACUAAGCGCAAGAUGACCACAUUUUUUAAUUUGCAUGAUAUUUUUUUCAUUUUGAAGAAACCGACGUCCUGCCAACACUGAACCUAAAACCAUACUUAUUCCAGAAGAUGAGGCUGCAUUCUCAAAUGUGUAAAAGAGCAGCAAACAAGAAGUGCCAAGAUGCAGAAGCCACGUUUCCCCUUUUAAACUCAUUUGUCUACGUGCGAAGAGGUUGAGACCUCCAGAAGUUGAAUCCGUGGCAGCCUCACAGGGCACCCAUUCCCCAUGUGUCCCUACACUGGACCAAGAAUGUGAGAGAAGCACAACCCUCUGGCAUGUUCUCUAUCCAGGACGUCCUAAGGACCCUCAUUCUCACUGAUGGACUGUGGCUUCUUGUAGUACACAGAUGCAACUGACUCAAGAGAAUUCCCCAAGGGUUUUGUGAUAGAAUAUUAGUCUGAUGGAGAAGAUUCCAUAAACAUGUCAUCUAGCACCAUGCUAGGCUCUGAGAGGAACACCGUGUUCAAGAUACCUACCCUUCAGGGAUCCUCCCAUUGCAGCGAAGAACACCCAUGAUCAACACAUCAUCAACAAAAUCAUUCCACAGAGCAGAUGGGUCGAGUCACAUGGAAAAGUCGCUUGGAGGCAGCAGGGAAGGGCAGCCUUUAUCUGGUGAGCCCCCGGGGCAGGGAAGUGGGCAUCUAUGCAGAGAUCUGGGCGUGGGCUGGUGGAACAGAAGGGAGAGACAUGUGGCCAGGCUACAGCCAAAUAGAAGGCCAGUGAGGAGGGGAGAAGUCGGUGGAUCAGGUCAUGCCUUAAUAGGUCUUGGUAGGAACUGUGGCUCUUGCUCUAAUUGCGCUGGGAAAGCACCUAUGCGCGGUAAGCAGGGGAGGGAAAACGUGUGGUUUAUGCUUUUGGAAGACACCCUUGACUGCCACAUGGGGAGUGGACAGGAGCUGGACAAGGCUGCUAUUUCGCCUCCGCGGAAGCCCAGAUGAGAGAGAUGGACAAGGGUGGCCCCACUAGGUGCGGAGGCGGAGGCAGCGGCAGCGGCAGCGACAGAGACAGAGGCAGUCCUGUUUGGAUCUGUGUGGGAGGUACUCAGGGGCCGUGGCGCACAGCUGAGGAGUGCUGGCAGUGUGGCACUCAGGGCUUU